AACGAACGCUGGCGGCAUGCCUAACACAUGCAAGUCGAACGAAGCCUUCGGGCUUAGUGGCGCACGGGUGCGUAACGCGUGGGAAUCUGCCCUUUGCUUCGGAAUAACAGUUAGAAAUGACUGCUAAUACCGGAUGAUGUCUUCGGACCAAAGAUUUAUCGGCAAAGGAUGAGCCCGCGUAGGAUUAGGUAGUUGGUGGGGUAAAGGCCUACCAAGCCGACGAUCCUUAGCUGGUCUGAGAGGAUGAUCAGCCACACUGGGACUGAGACACGGCCCAGACUCCUACGGGAGGCAGCAGUGGGGAAUAUUGGACAAUGGACGCAAGUCUGAUCCAGCAAUGCCGCGUGAGUGAUGAAGGCCUUAGGGUUGUAAAGCUCUUUUACCAGGGAUGAUAAUGACAGUACCUGGAGAAUAAGCUCCGGCUAACUCCGUGCCAGCCGCCGCGGUAAAAC
rnacentral:rRNA from 1 species